rnacentral:rRNA from 1 species
GCACAUCGCUGACGAGUGGUGGACGGGUGAGUCAUGGUGGGGAACUUGCCUUUGGGAGGGGGAUAACCGUUGGAAACGACUGCUAAUACCGCAUAAUGUCUUCGGACCAAACGGGGCUUAGGCUCCGGCGCAAAGAGAGGCCCAAGUGACAUUAUCUAGUUGGUAAGGUAACGGCUUACCAAGGCGACGAUCUCUAGCUGUUCUGAGAGGAAGAUCAGCCACACUGGGACUGAGACACGGCCCACACUCCUACGGGAGGCAGCAGUGGGGAAUAUUGCACAAUGGGGGAAACCCUGAUGCACCCAUGCCGCGUGUGUGAAGAAGGCCUUCGGGUUGUAAAGCACUUUCAGUUGUGAGGAAAAGUUAAUUUUUAAUACCUGCUACCCGUGACGUUAACAACAGAAGAAGCACCGGCUAACUCCGUGCCAGCAGGCGGGGUAAUACGGAGGGUGCGAGCGUUAAUCGGAAUUACUGGGCGUAAAUCGCACGCCGGCAGUUUGUUAA